rnacentral:rRNA from 1 species
AGAGCGAACGCUGGCGGCGUGCUUAACACAUGCAAGUCGAACGCGCAGCAUUCUGUAGCAAUACAGGGUGUGGGCGCGUGGCGAACGGGUGCGUAACACGUGGAUAACCUUCCUUCAGGUGGGGAAUAACCCAGUGAAAAUUGGGCUAAUACCGCAUAACAUCGCGAUGGCACAUGCUGAUGCGAUCAAAGGCGCAAGUCGCCACAAGAGGGAUCCGCGGCCGAUUAGCUUGUUGGCGAGGUAAUGGCUCACCAAGGCAAUGAUCGGUA